CGGACCCCGGCGGACCCCAGCGAGAGCGGUUUCCUCGUCGGAGAGUCGGGUUGAGCGACGCCACCGUGCGCGGGAGCCCCCUUGAGCAUCGCCGGGAGAGCGCUCAGACAUUACGGCGCAACGACGGGACCGAAACAACGCGACCAGACUCGAAAGCCGCGCGUCCUCUCACCGAUUUUAUGCGCUUUCCUCGUGUUUUGUUCGGUUUUAUUUCUCCUCGCGUCGGAGGGGGAAACAGCGAGCGAGGCUUCACUGCGGCUGAAUCAAUUUUCUCUCCUCCAGACCUGGGAAUUACAAUGAAAAAUGUAGGUGACACGUUUUCUUUCACAGUCCGGGAGCCACAGUAGGAUCCAAGCGGAGAGGGCAAAGAAGACAGAAGGGGGAAAAUGGUGACGGGCGCCGCAUCUAUAGGAUCAGCAUCCUCUCCGCGGAGCCCCUGCGUAAAGGAAAUUACAGUGUGAAAACUGCCGAACAAGUGGAUGUGAACCUGUGAGGGAAAAGAAAACGGAGAGAAGGUGGAAGCGACUUGGAUCCCGUCAGGACUGUCCCUGUUUUCAAAGCCCAGGCUUUAAUCAUUAACCAUUCCAACUAUUUUUAUCGGUUUGAUGUUGUUGGGAUCAAGGUCCCAGACCUCCUCCCCUCUCGUCUGUCGUUUUGUUCCAAGCGAGACCAAAACCAGGUGCCAAACUGACUGUGUCAAGAGAACAAGCAAAAAAUCUACUGAACUUACCAUCAGCAAAUCAUCAUAAGAAGAGUUUAUUAUUAAGUCAUUUAUCUUUGGAAACCCAAUUUAGUACAGCUCCCUUUCUCUCCCCCUCUGCCCAUGAAAACGUUACGACGGUCUGCAUCCCAUUAAAGUCACAUUUCAUCUCAACACGUCCAUGACGGCGUAUUAAAGAGAUAUUUUAGAAAACAGAAACAACAGUAAAAGUUUAUAUCCAUUGUCUUCAGUCAGUGUGUGCUGCUAAAAGCCGAGAGAUGAUUCAUACUGGGACGAUGAUCAGUGCAUUAUUGGUUCAAAGUGCUUUAUAAACAGAUCCUCCAGCUGAUGGUUUGUUUGUAGUUGGUGGCGUGGUAAGCGGUGAUAACUCUCUACGCCGUCUGAACAUUCGAAGGCCUCGGCGGGACGGUGUUUGACUGACGGGCGACACGAGCCGCAUCUAAACCUGCUAAAUAUAGGCACCGCUACC